GAUGAACGCUGGCGGCGUGCCUAAUACAUGCAAGUCGAGCGAAUGGAUUAAGAGCUUGCUCUUAUGAAGUUAGCGGCGGACGGGUGAGUAACACGUGGGUAACCUGCCCAUAAGACUGGGAUAACUCCGGGAAACCGGGGCUAAUACCGGAUAACAUUUUGAACCGCAUGGUUCGAAAUUGAAAGGCGGCUUCGGCUGUCACUUAUGGAUGGACCCGCGUCGCAUUAGCUAGUUGGUGAGGUAACGGCUCACCAAGGCAACGAUGCGUAGCCGACCUGAGGGGGUGAUGGGCCACACUGGGACUGAGACACGGCCCAGACUCCUGCGGGAGGCAGCGGUAGGGAAUCUUCCGCAAUGGACGAAAGUCUGACGGAGCAACGCCGCGUGAGUGAUGAAGGCUUUCGGGUCGUAAAACUCUGUUGUUAGGGAAGAACAAGUGCUAGUUGAAUAAGCUGGCACCUUGACGGUACCUAACCAGAAAGCCACGGCUAACUACGUGCCAGCCGCCGCAGUAA
rnacentral:rRNA from 1 species